CAGCGUCUGCACUGUGGGGAGGGCACUGUGGGGGAGGCACGGCUGGGGCUCCGGGUCAGGUUCCCGGCUGGGGCUCUGCCCUGCCCUGGGCUCCUGCAUGGUCGGUGCUGAAUCGUCCCGAUGCGGGCCUGGUCUGGCCCUGCCUGUCCCUGGGGCUUGGACAGCUCCAGUGCCAGGGGCUUCUCCCAGCCAUGUGCUGACCACACAGCAGCUUCUGGUGUCUGUCGGCUCCCGCCUGGGCCGCGGAUGGGGAGGACGCAGCAGGGACUCGCACCCACGUCUGAGCAGCCUGUGGGGGAACUCCUGGGUCACCUGGUGAGCUUCUCGCCAGGUGUGCGCAAACUCCUCUGGCGCCUGAGCAGGUGAACCUCUCCCUGGCCUUUGAAGGGAACGUGCCAUCGCAGCACAAAGUCCUCUGUAUCCUGCCUUCAGAGUCUCCAGCGUCAUUGCUGUGUGAGGUCUGCGACUGCACGAUUUAAGAGAUGGUGCUGAUUCAGACGUGCGCACAGUGACACAGGUGCUAAAUGCAGUGCUGGAGGGAGUACAAAUCUGUGGAACCUGUUGCAGAAGCACUUUGGCAAUGUCACAGAGCAGAACUUAGUACUUCUGCGAGUACAUCCUAAAAAUGAAUGCCGAACCCUUACGAAGAGAUAAAGGUUAUUUGGUACAUAUUGGUGGUCUCUGUCCUUCGGUAUCUGAGGUCUCAUUUCCAGAAAUACCAAGUUUCUGAAAUUUCAAUUUAUGAUUCUUCUACUAAUUACAGAUAUGCAUCUCUUGCUUUCCAAAAAAAAAAAAAAAAAAAAAAACAGUGAUGUAAAGAUGGCUGUGAAAGGAAUGAUGCCAAAAAGAUCUAAUUUACAGGGUACAAAAAUGGCAAACAGAAAAGUGACUUAAACGAAUAACUGGAAUCUACGUAAACUGCUAAGAACUGCAAAGAAAUGUCAAGCACAUGAACACAGCUAGACAAUCCAAGGCAAGAUGAAUGUAAGAAGAUUUUGGCUUCCUGGAAAAAACUCACCAUGGACUUUGGUUAUUCAGAAUUAGCUACUUCUUCUGUAAGGCUAUCAGGAACUAUGGACCUCACAACAUGAAGGAAAAUAAGCCUUGGCAUCAUUUAAGGCUAUACCGAUGAAGCAAGGAGAGAAAGGAACACUUAACGACAAGCCGCGAUACAAAAGGAGAAGGUGUGUGCAAUCCUGUUUAACAACCUUCGCAUCUUUUGUCACAGUUUAACUUGCGCACACACGUACACACAUAAGUGUUGCGAUAAUCCAACAGACGUCUGCACCCGGCACUGUGGGGUUAAUUCUCUGACUCCCACACAGCAGGUGGUCACAAUCUAACAGCAAUAUUUACUAGGAGUGUCUGACAGCUUCCUAGGGAACAUCCCUAGAGCUUCUAGAAGGAUGCUACACGUGAGAUCUAGAAAGAUGCUACACGUGAGAAAAA